GUCGGAGUGGUCGAGGGGGAGCAUGAUCAGAUCUUUUGACUAAAUCUAAUUUUCAGCAUCAAAGGGCACUCAUCCGAUUUUCGAAAUUCCCCGGCAGUAUAUGUGGAGCCCAACAUGUUUCUCAUGUUCUAAAAU
ensembl:ncRNA F58G11.8 ncRNA